rnacentral:rRNA from 1 species
AUUGAACGCUGGCGGCAUGCCUUACACAUGCAAGUCGAACGGUAACAGGUCUUCGGAUGCUGACGAGUGGCGAACGGGUGAGUAAUACAUCGGAACGUGCCUAGUAGUGGGGGAUAACUACUCGAAAGAGUGGCUAAUACCGCAUGAGAUCUACGGAUGAAAGCAGGGGAUCGCAAGACCUUGUGCUACUAGAGCGGCCGAUGGCAGAUUAGGUAGGUGGAGGGAUAAAAGCUUACCAAGCCGACGAUCUGUAGCUGGUCUUAGAGGACGAUCACACACACUGGGGCUGAGACACGGCCCAGACUCCUACGGGAGGCAGCAGUGGGGAAUUUUGGUCAAUGGGCGCAAGCCUGAUCCAGCACUGCCGCGUGCAGGAUGAAGGCCUUCGGGUUGUCAACUGCUUUUGUACGGAACGAAAAGCCCCGGGUUAAUACCCUGGGGUCAUGACGGUACCGUAAGAAUAAGCACCGGCUAACUACGUGCCAGCCGCCGCCGUAA